AAACUAUUAUUUUGUGUUUUGAAAACACAAUAGAGGACUUGUCCUGUAGUUUUGUGUA
rnacentral:tRNA from 1 species